AUUGAACGCUGGCGGCAUGCCUUACACAUGCAAGUCGAACGGCAGCACGGGGGCAACCCUGGUGGCGAGUGGCGAACGGGUGAGUAACAUAUCGGAACAUACCCUAGAGUGGGGGAUAACGUAGCGAAAGUUGCGCUAAUACCGCAUACGAUCUAAGGAUGAAAGUGGGGGAUCUUCGGACCUCAUGCUCAUGGAGUGGCCGAUAUCUGAUUAGCUAGUUGGUGAGGUAAAGGCUCACCAAGGCGACGAUCAGUAGCUGGUUUGAGAGAACGACCAGCCACACUGGAACUGAGACACGGUCCAGACUCCUACGGGAGGCAGCAGUGGGGAAUUUUGGACAAUGGGGGCGAACCCUGAUCCAGCAAUGCCGCGUGAGUGAAG
rnacentral:rRNA from 1 species